ACGCGCAAUUUUUGGAUUCCACAUUAUUGUCUGAAAGAGACACCAUAACUACUUCAAUAGCAAGGAGGAUAUUGUUGCGUUUUUUCUGGCUUAUCGAUCGACUGAUAUUACUGUCACAUUGUAAUUUCCAUUGACGAUUGUUACACGUUCAUCUAUAAUUGGCCCUCUUAUUUAAAGAGGUUUGUACAUUGGUUAUCAAUGAAAAUGGGUUGCCUUUGAUUUUCUUUAAGGGUUUUAAUUUCAAGUUCUAAUUUUGGAUUCAAGUUUUAAUUUUAAGUUCUAGUUUCAAGUUCAAGUUUACUGGUAAUUGUUACCAGUUGAACGAACCAGCUUGAGUCGGGAGACCUUUUCCCUACCAUUCGGUCGACGUACGACCUUUCCAUCUGCUGAUAAGAAGCCGCCAUUUGCUGAAAUUGGGUCACGGGGUCAUUCCCCAGAUUUAAUAUCAAGGAGUCGAUCGUUAACCAUGAAACAACUUCCGUAACUGUUUAGCGUAAUAAUUGAAUGUAAUUGAAUGUCUGGGCUAAUCCAAUUAAAAGUGAUCUGAUCAGG